AUUCAGUUGACCAGUCCCAAAUAGGACGGAACGCGCGUCCUGGAU
rnacentral:hammerhead_ribozyme from 1 species